rnacentral:rRNA from 1 species
CUGCUGCCUUCCGUAGGAGUUUGGGCCGUGUCUCAGUCCCAAUGUGGCCGUCCACCCUCUCAGGCCGGCUACUGAUCGUCGCUUUGGUAGGCCGUUACCCUGCCAACUGGCUAAUCAGACGCGGGUCCAUCGCAUACCACCUCGGUUUUUCACACUGGACCAUGCGGUCCCGUGCGCUUAUGCGGUAUUAGCACCUGUUUCCAGGUGUUAUCCCCCGGUAUACGGCAGGUUACCCACGCGUUACUCACCGUCCGCCACUAACUUAA